CAGUCGCCGCGGUAAAACGUAGGUGGCAAGCGUUGUCCGGAGUUAUUGGGCGUAAAGGGCUCGCAGGCGGUUUCUUAAGUCUGAUGUGAAAGCCCCCGGCUCAACCGGGGAGGGUCAUUGGAAACUGGGAAACUUGAGUGCAGAAGAGAAGAGUGGAAUUCCACGUGUAGCGGUGAAAUGCGUAGAGAUGUGGAGGAACACCAGCGGCGAAGGCGACUCUCUGGUCUGUAACUGACGCUGAGGAGCGAAAGCGUGGGGAGCGAACAGGAUUAGAUACCCCCGUAGUCCCUGUCUCUUAUAC
rnacentral:rRNA from 1 species